rnacentral:rRNA from 1 species
UUGCUACACACGUGCUACAAUGGCAAGUACAAAGAGACGCAAGACCGUGAGGUGGAGCAAAUCUCAAAAACAUGUCCCAGUUCGGAUUGUAGGCUGAAACUCGCCUACAGAAGCCGGA